GUCACCAUCUAUAAGAAACAGGCUCCCACCAGACACUGAGUCUGCUGGAGACUUGAUCUUGAAUUUCCCAACCUCCAGAACUGAGGCCACCAGACUUUCUCUGCUUGUAUCCUCCCAGGACCACGGAACUCAUCACAUCCCAAGGCAGUCUAUUCCAUCAUGGACGAGCUCAAAGUGUUUGAAAGUUCUGCUUUAUCAAGUGAGCCAAACUUCCUCCCUCGGGACCAUCCACUCCAGGUCCCAGUUAUUCUAUUGGAGGAGCGAGGGUAAAGCCAUCACCAGGACAACCUUGGUGACAGGCUGGACUGGCAGCCAGCUUUUGAGGAUGACUUCAGGGAACCCUAAAGUCAAAUGUAUUACUCCUCUGAUGCCUACAAUUCCACUAUAAUAGUCUGGUGGGCUUCUGUUAGGAAGGCUUAUACAUGGUGGAAAGAAUAAAGGCUUGGACUCAGCCUAGGUUCAAAUACUGCAUCUUGACCUGGACUGUAGGGAAGUCUUAUCAC
rnacentral:antisense_RNA from 1 species